rnacentral:rRNA from 1 species
UACGUAGGGGGCUAGCGUUGUCCGGAUUCAUUGGGCGUAAAGAGCGUGUAGGCGGCCAAGCAGGUCCGCUGUGAAAACUCGAGGCUCAACCUCGAGACGUCGGUGGAAACCGUUUGGCUAGAGUCCGGAAGAGGAGAGUGGAAUUCCCGGUGUAGCGGUGAAAUGCGCAGAUAUCGGGAAGAACACCCGUGGCGAAGGCGGCUCUCUGGGACGGUACUGACGCUGAGACGCGAAAGCGUGGGGAGCGAACAGG